rnacentral:tRNA from 1 species
UCCUCAGUAGCUCAAUGGUAGAGCAUUCGGCUGUUAACCGAAGGGUUACAGGUUCGAGCCCUGUCUGGGGAGCCA